CCCCCGCCCCGCGCCGACGGACACGGCCCCCCCGCCUCAGAUUCUGGCCCCCUCUCGCCUUCCGGCGGCCCUCCAAGCAGGGCUGUUCGGAGAGGAGGGGCCCGAGACGGACGAACUGGACCUCUUGCACAGCUACAUGCAUGACUCUAAGGACGAGGAAGAGGCGGAGGAGGACGAGGAGAGCUUGUCCAAGAGCAAGCUGACGCUGGAGGACUCCCUGGCUCUGUCGCCCCCCUCCCCCUUCAGGGACUCUGUGUGUUCAGAGGGCUCCGUGUCCCCGGCCGUGGACUCUUACCUGGGGACGUCCCCGGGCGCGGCCUACAGCGCCGCCAUACUGCGGGACUUCACACAGAGCUCCUCCACGCUGUGAGGGGUGGGGGAGCGGGGGGGCAGGCGACCUGUGGGGAUCCUCCUUCACUCUCUCCACCGACAUGCUUUAGACCCACCGGGGCUGACACGCAGAUCCUACAUGUGCACCGAGAAGCAAAACACACACACACACACACACACAUACACACAUCCACACGCUCAAAACAUGCAUGCCACUGCACACGCCCACCCUGACAUGCCCCCCACACACAAAUGCACACACAAUGCACAAACACGACAAACAUGACAAACAUGAACAUGACAGUAACACUUAAACCACAUAGGAUUCACAGCAUAGCACAGAACUAUAUCCCCCUGCACUUAAAUCAAGUUUUUCUCCAAUUUUGUUUCCUCUGAUUUUUGCUCUCUCAUUUGCUUGCUUCAAUGUUUUUCUUUUUCUUUUAUUAUUUUGUCUCAAUAGGAAAUAUAAAUACCUGGUACGGUUCAGGAACGCUGAACAACGCCAGAGCAGUACGCUGCUUCCGAAGGGCUGUGAGUCCACGUAGACUCGCUGGAAACACUGCAACUGGGAACAGUGCCAAAACUAGCUAGCUUGUGUGCCAAAAUGUGACAGGAUUAUAAAGCAGAUCUCAGAAUCACAACGAAGGAUGUAGCUGUCGUCUAGUUGAUGUGCAAUUAAAAAAAGCCUGAAUUAAAAGCAAAAUAAUGAUAAGUGUAGGAACAGGGAAGGCUACGUUUGGGUGGUCUGUGUGCGAACGCUGCACGUUAAGAUACAGACAAAAGCCAACUCCAAAGACAUCGCUACGCUAAGUGCAUAUCAUGACACCAUUAUCUAGCACUGUUUUCUUUUGCGACACUGUCUACGUGCAGUAGAGACAGGCUUGUGUGUGUGACAGGGAAAGAUGGAUUUUCUCUCGUUGAUAAGAAUACGCCUCUGCUUCUUUCUCUUCUUCUGACCUCAUUGACAUUUUUUUUAGAAACAAAGCCGUACUAAAUCACCGCACUGCUAUGGAUAAGUACGAUGCUGAAUGGUAAGAGGGUGAGAAAGGAGUGUGUGCUCGAUAUUAGAAACAGAAUAUAUGACUGAGAUGGAAUUCUUCUUCUCUUUUAAAAACCUGCGCUGUGUGAAACAUGACCUGAUAUGGAUUCGAUGUGCCAAUCAAAGCUGUAAUCUGUCGACUUUACCCUGCGUUCACUUUUUAAAUAUGUAGCUGAUAAAAGGUCUGCUUGAUUGUAGAUGAUGGUAAUGUUGUUUACUAGGUUUACACACAAUCAUACCUGAGCCGACUUUUCUAAGCAUGGGGAUGUGACAAAGAGCUAUACCAUGCAGUGUUUAUGAUAUUUCUUAUGUUUUUUGCGGUUUGCUGUGCCAUUGUAAUGGGGAAGAACACAGUACUUGUAUAAGUUCUCAAAGUUUGUAAUACUGUUGAGCCAUCUCUUGUUUUUCACACGAGUGGUAUGUUUGUACUAUCGGUAAAUGUUUAUACAUUUAGAAUGUGCAGAGAAAAAAAACAACAAAACUUUAUACAUUUUGAAAUUGUCUUACAGAUGCUUGUCAAGGAACAGUGUAUUGGCAUUGGGGUAUUUUAAGCUAACUGUAUGAGUCGGAUGUAUUCUCUUGAAAAUAAUCAGUUGUCAAAGUAACCGAAUGUUACUUACUAUAAUGAGAUUACGUGUUUUCAAUUUUGCUUAAAUCUCGUAUUAUAAAUUUAAGUAGUUACUUAAUCUUAUGGUUCUUAGUUCUUUAUCUAUAAAUGCAACUUUCCAAGUACCACAAUAACAAUGUACAGUGACAUAGUGCAAUCGUAUUGUAUUUCCAAAUGUUUUGGUCUAUUAUAGUGUUUCAAGAAGUUGUUUAAAGAUUUUAAGAAAUGUAAGUUAUGAGGGUGCCACCUGUUUAACACUGUCAAAUCUAGAAUGAAAUAGGCCUUCGUGUUUGGGCAAGUAUACUGUAAAAUAAACGAAAAUAUUUAUAUUA
ensembl:lncRNA